AUGAACGCUGGCGGCGUGCCUAAUACAUGCAAGUCGAGCGAACAGAUAAGGAGCUUGCUCCUUUGACGUUAGCGGCGGACGGGUGAGUAACACGUGGAUAACCUACCUAUAAGACUGGGAUAACUUCGGGAAACCGGAGCUAAUACCGGAUAACAUAUUGAACCGCAUGGUUCAAUAGUGAAAAGGCGGCUUUGCUGUCACUUAUAGAUGGAUCCGCGCCGUAUUAGCUAGUUGGUAAGGUAACGGCUUACCAAGGCAACGAUACGUAGCCG
rnacentral:rRNA from 1 species